rnacentral:lncRNA from 1 species
AAAUUGGAAUUGAAACACAAAUCAAAUGUGGAUUGAUGUUUUGUUCGAAUUUCAAUUCCAUUACAUCAUUAUAUCUAAUGUACAUAGUAGCUCCAAUUUAUUCUUUAUUUCAUCCAUUUUUUGUAUUGGUUCCACUAAAAUAUAUAUGUAAUAAUCCAAAAACAACUCUUAUUUUUGCUUUUCAAAUUUAUGGGUUUCUGAUUCUUAAUAUCAAUCCCGGUAUCAUAUAAAAAAAUUGAGUAAUACUUUUAGUAUUUCCAAGAAGUAAUUGAUUAAAUAGUUGGAAUAGU